GAUGAAGAACGUAGUGAAAUGCGAUAAGUAGUGUGAAUUGCAGAAUUCAGUGAAUCAUCGAAUCUUUGAACGCACAUUGCGCCCCUUGGUAUUCCAUGGGGCAUGCCUGUUCGAGCGUCAUUUCACCACUCAAGCCUGGCUUGGUGUUGGGCGACGUCCUCUUUGGGGACGCGCCUCGAAACGCUCGGCGGCGUGGCACCGGCUUUAAGCGUAGCAGAAUCUUUCGCUUUGGAAGUCGGGGCCCCGUCUGCCGGAAGACCUGCUCGCAAGGUUGACCUCGGAUCAGGCAGGGAUACCCGCUGAACUUAAGCAUAUCAAUAAGCGGAGGA
rnacentral:misc_RNA from 1 species